GUCGUCAGCUCGUGCCGUGAGGUGUUGGGUUAAGUCCCGCAACGAGCGCAACCCUCGGGGCUAGUUACCGUGUCUAGCCCGACUGCCGCGACAAACGCGGAGGAAGGUGGGGAUGACGUCAAGUCAGCACGGCUCUUACAUCCUGGGCGACACACACGCUACAAUGGACGCGACAAUAGGAUGCGAAGCCGCAAGGCGGAGCCAAUCCUCCAAAGGCGUCCUCAGUUCAGAUCGGCGUCUGCAACCCGACGCCGUGAAGGCGGAGUUGCUAGUAACCGCGGGUCAGCACACCGCGGUGAAUACGUUCCCGGGCCUUGUACACACCGCCCGUCACGUCAUGAAAGCCGGCAACACCUGAAGCCGCUGGCCCAACGCGCAAGCGAGGGAGGCGUCGAGGGUGGGGCGGGUGAUUGGGACGAAGUCGUAACAAGGUAGCCGUAGCGGAAGCUGCGGCUGGAUCACCUCCUUUCUAGGGAGCCCCCCACCGAUCCGGCGAAGCGGGGAACUGACCCCGCGACGCAACGGCUGAUCGGCUGGGCCAUCCCAGGUCGAUCGGUCUCGACUGGCCGAAGGAGCACUCCUUCGGACGGGUGAGAUCGACCCUCGGCUCUGCUUUCUGAUCACUCUUCACCGGGGAACGAGUCAACGGGGUCGGUGUGAGGAGAACCCACCACCCGCCGAUCCCAAAGGGCCUUUAGCUCAGUUGGUUAGAGCGCAGUCCUGAUAAGACUGAGGUCUCUGGUUCGAGCCCAGAAAGGCCCACCUCCCGUGUGGUUGCUCUCGUCGGAGAGUAGUCGCUGGGGAAGCACCUUACCAAGUGAAGACGGCACAGACAACGAAGAGGUCGCAAGAGCGAGGGCGCGCUGGAGCGCAAAGAGACACACAGCAGACGGUGAAUGCCCUGGCGAUGUGAGGCCGAAGAAGGACGGAGCACGGCGCCGAAACGUGCGGGGGAGGAGCCUAGCAUCCUUUGAUCCCGCGCUGUCCGAAUGGGGAA
rnacentral:sRNA from 1 species